rnacentral:rRNA from 1 species
CUGUGCAAAAUCGCAAGAUGACGUAUACGGUGUGACACCUGCCCGGUGCUGGAAGGUUAAUUGAUGGGGUUAUCCUUAGGGAGAAGCUCUUGAUCGAAGCCCCGGUAAACGGCGGCCGUAACUAUAACGGUCCUAAGGUAGCGAAAUUCCUUGUCGGGUAAGUUCCGACCUGCACGAAUGGCAUAAUGAUGGCCACGCUGUCUCCACCCGAGACUCAGUGAAAUUGAAAUCGCAGUGAAGAUGCUGUGUACCCGCGGCUAGACGGAAAGACCCCGUGAACCUUUACUACAGCUUGGCACUGAACAUUGAACCUACAUGUGUAGGAUAGGUGGGAGACUUUGAAGCAGCGACGCUAGUUGUUGUGGAGUCAACCUUGAAAUACCACCCUUGUAGUUUUGAUGUUCUAACGUUGGCCCCUGAAUCGGGGUUACGGACAGUGCCUGGUGGGUAGUUUGACUGGGGCGGUCUCCUCCUAAAGAGUAACGGAGGAGCACGAAGGUUGGCUAAGUACGGUCGGACAUCGUACGGUUAGUGUAAUGGUAGAAGCCAGCUUAACUGCGAGACAGACACGUCGAGCAGGUACGAAAGUAGGUCAUAGUGAUCCGGUGGUUCUGAAUGGAAGGGCCAUCGCUCAACGGAUAAAAGGUACUCCGGGGAUAACAGGCUGAUACCGCCCAAGAGUUCAUAUCGACGGCGGUGUUUGGCACCUCGAUGUCGGCUCAUCACAUCCUGGGGCUGAAGUCGGUCCCAAGGGUAUGGCUGUUCGCCAUUUAAAGAGGUACGCGAGCUGGGUU